GAUGAACGCUGGCGGCGUGCCUAAUACAUGCAAGUCGAGCGAACAGAUGAGGAGCUUGCUCCUCUGACGUUAGCGGCGGACGGGUGAGUAACACGUGGAUAACCUACCUAUAAGACUGGGAUAACUUCGGGAAACCGGGGCUAAUACCGGAUAAUAUAUUGAACCGCAUGGUUCUAUAGUGAAAGAUGGUUUUGCUAUCACUUAUAGAUGGAUCCGCGCCGCAUUAGCUAGUUGGUAAGGUAACGGCUUACCAAGGCGACGAUGCGUAGCCGACCUGAGAGGGUGAUCGGCCACACUGGAACUGAGACACGGUCCAGACUCCUACGGGAGGCAGCAGUAGGGAAUCUUCCGCAAUGGGCGAAAGCCUGACGGAGCAACGCCGCGUGAGUGAUGAAGGUCUUCGGAUCGUAAAACUCUGUUAUUAGGGAAGAACAAAUGUGUAAGUAACUAUGCACGUCUUGACGGUACCUAAUCAGAAAGCCACGGCUAACUACGUG
rnacentral:rRNA from 1 species